UACGUAGGAUGCAAGCGUUGUCCGGAUUUAUUGGGUUUAAAGGGUGCGUAGGCGGCCUAUUAAGUUAGUGGUGAAAACGUUCGGCUUAACCGGAUACCCGCCAUUGAUACUGAUAGACUUGAGUGCGACAGAGGGUGUUGGAAUGUGUGGUGUAGCGGUGAAAUGCUUAGAUAUCACGCAGAACACCAAUUGCGAAGGCAGAUGCCUAUGUCGUAACUGACGAUGAGGCACGAAAGAGCGGGGAGCAAACAGG
rnacentral:rRNA from 1 species